rnacentral:rRNA from 1 species
UGGGGAAUCUUGCACAAUGGGGGCAACCCUGAUGCAGCGACGCCGCGUGAGCGAUGAAGCCCUUCGGGGCGUAAAGCUCUUUCGACCGGAACGAUAAUGACGGUACCGGGAGAAGAAGCUGCGGCUAACUACGUACCAGCAGCCGCGGUAAUACGUAGGCAGCAAGCGUUGUUCGGAGUUACUGGGCGUAAAGAGUGCGUAGGCGGUUUUCUAAGUUCGGUGUGAAAUCUCCCGGCUUAACUGGGAGGGUGCGCCGAAGACUGGGAAGCUGGAGUGUGGGAAAGGCAGGCGGAAUUCCUGGUGUAGCGGUGAAAUGCGUAGAUAUCAGGAGGAACACCGGCGGUGUAGACGGCUUGCUAGACCAUAACUGACGCUGAGGCACGAAAGCGUGGGUAGCAAACA